rnacentral:rRNA from 1 species
UUAAGCGACUAAGCGUACACGGUGGAUGCCCUGGCAGUCAGAGGCGAUGAAGGACGUGCUAAUCUGCGAUAAGCGUCGGUAAGGUGAUAUGAACCGUUAUAACCGGCGAUUUCCGAAUGGGGAAACCCAGUGUGUUUCGACACACUAUCAUUAACUGAAUCCAUAGGUUAAUGAGGCGAACCGGGGGAACUGAAACAUCUAAGUACCCCGAGGAAAAGAAAUCAACCGAGAUUCCCCCAGUAGCGGCGAGCGAACGGGGAGCAGCCCAGAGUCUGAAUCAGUGUGUGUGUUAGUGGAAGCGUCUGGAAAGGCGCGCGAUACAGGGUGACAGCCCCGUACACAAAAAUGCACAUACUGUGAGCUCGAUGAGUAGGGCGGGACACGUGGUAUCCUGUCUGAAUAUGGGGGGACCAUCCUCCAAGGCUAAAUACUCCUGACUGACCGAUAGUGAACCAGUACCGUGAGGGAAAGGCGAAAAGAACCCCGGCGAGGGGAGUGAAAAAGAACCUGAAACCGUGUACGUACAAGCAGUGGGAGCACGCUUUAUGGGGUGACUGCGUACCUUUUGUAUAAUGGGUCAGCGACUUAUAUUCUGUAGCAAGGUUAACCGAAUAGGGGAGCCGAAGGGAAACCGAGUCUUAACUGGGCGUUAAGUUGCAGGGUAUAGACCCGAAACCCGGUGAUCUAGCCAUGGGCAGGUUGAAGGUUGGGUAACACUAACUGGAGGACCGAACCGACUAAUGUUGAAAAAUUAGCGGAUGACUUGUGGCUGGGGGGGAAAGGCCAAUCAAACCGGGAGAUAGCUGGUUCUCCCCGAAAGCUAUUUAGGUAGCGCCUCGUGAAUUCAUCUCCGGGGGUAGAGCACUGUUUCGGCAAGGGGGUCAUCCCGACUUACCAACCCGAUGCAAACUGCGAAUACCGGAGAAUGUUAUCACGGGAGACACACGGCGGGUGCUAACGUCCGUCGUGAAGAGGGAAACAACCCAGACCGCCAGCUAAGGUCCCAAAGUCAUGGUUAAGUGGGAAACGAUGUGGGAAGGCCCAGACAGCCAGGAUGUUGGCUUAGAAGCAGCCAUCAUUUAAAGAAAGCGUAAUAGCUCACUGGUCGAGUCGGCCUGCGCGGAAGAUGUAACGGGGCUAAACCAUGCACCGAAGCUGCGGCAGCGACGCUUAUGCGUUGUUGGGUAGGGGAGCGUUCUGUAAGCCUGUGAAGGUGUGCUGUGAGGCAUGCUGGAGGUAUCAGAAGUGCGAAUGCUGACAUAAGUAACGAUAAAGCGGGUGAAAAGCCCGCUCGCCGGAAGACCAAGGGUUCCUGUCCAACGUUAAUCGGGGCAGGGUGAGUCGACCCCUAAGGCGAGGCCGAAAGGCGUAGUCGAUGGGAAACAGGUUAAUAUUCCUGUACUUGGUGUUACUGCGAAGGGGGGACGGAGAAGGCUAUGUUGGCCGGGCGACGGUUGUCCCGGUUUAAGCGUGUAGGCUGGUUUUCCAGGCAAAUCCGGAAAAUCAAGGCUGAGGCGUGAUGACGAGGCACUACGGUGCUGAAGCAACAAAUGCCCUGCUUCCAGGAAAAGCCUCUAAGCAUCAGGUAACAUCAAAUCGUACCCCAAACCGACACAGGUGGUCAGGUAGAGAAUACCAAGGCGCUUGAGAGAACUCGGGUGAAGGAACUAGGCAAAAUGGUGCCGUAACUUCGGGAGAAGGCACGCUGAUAUGUAGGUGAAGUCCCUUGCGGAUGGAGCUGAAAUCAGUCGAAGAUACCAGCUGGCUGCAACUGUUUAUUAAAAACACAGCACUGUGCAAACACGAAAGUGGACGUAUACGGUGUGACGCCUGCCCGGUGCCGGAAGGUUAAUUGAUGGGGUCAGCGCAAGCGAAGCUCUUGAUCGAAGCCCCGGUAAACGGCGGCCGUAACUAUAACGGUCCUAAGGUAGCGAAAUUCCUUGUCGGGUAAGUUCCGACCUGCACGAAUGGCGUAAUGAUGGCCAGGCUGUCUCCACCCGAGACUCAGUGAAAUUGAACUCGCUGUGAAGAUGCAGUGUACCCGCGGCAAGACGGAAAGACCCCGUGAACCUUUACUAUAGCUUGACACUGAACAUUGAGCCUUGAUGUGUAGGAUAGGUGGGAGGCUUUGAAGUGUGGACGCCAGUCUGCAUGGAGCCGACCUUGAAAUACCACCCUUUAAUGUUUGAUGUUCUAACGUGGACCCGUGAUCCGGGUUGCGGACAGUGUCUGGUGGGUAGUUUGACUGGGGCGGUCUCCUCCUAAAGAGUAACGGAGGAGCACGAAGGUUGGCUAAUCCUGGUCGGACAUCAGGAGGUUAGUGCAAUGGCAUAAGCCAGCUUGACUGCGAGCGUGACGGCGCGAGCAGGUGCGAAAGCAGGUCAUAGUGAUCCGGUGGUUCUGAAUGGAAGGGCCAUCGCUCAACGGAUAAAAGGUACUCCGGGGAUAACAGGCUGAUACCGCCCAAGAGUUCAUAUCGACGGCGGUGUUUGGCACCUCGAUGUCGGCUCAUCACAUCCUGGGGCUGAAGUAGGUCCCAAGGGUAUGGCUGUUCGCCAUUUAAAGUGGUACGCGAGCUGGGUUUAGAACGUCGUGAGACAGUUCGGUCCCUAUCUGCCGUGGGCGCUGGAGAACUGAGGGGGGCUGCUCCUAGUACGAGAGGACCGGAGUGGACGCAUCACUGGUGUUCGGGUUGUCAUGCCAAUGGCACUGCCCGGUAGCUAAAUGCGGAAGAGAUAAGUGCUGAAAGCAUCUAAGCACGAAACUUGCCCCGAGAUGAGUUCUCCCUGACUCCUUGAGAGUCCUGAAGGAACGUUGAAGACGACGACGUUGAUAGGCCGGGUGUGUAAGCGCAGCGAUGCGUUGAGCUAACCGGUACUAAUGAACCGUGAGGCUUAACCUU